rnacentral:rRNA from 1 species
GCUGGCGGCACGCCUAACACAUGCAAGUCGAACGAAGUAGCAAUACUUAGUGGCAGACGGGUGAGUAACAUGUGGGUAUCUGCCCUUUGGCCUGGAAUAACACGAGGAAACUUGUGCUAAUACCGGAUAAGUCUUUACGGAGAAAGCUUUAUGCACCAUUGGAUGAGCCCGCACUUGAUUAGUUUGUUGGUGGGGUAAUGGCCUACCAAGACUGUGAUCAAUAGCUGAUUUGAGAGGAUGAUCAGCCACAUUGGGACUGAGACACGGCCCAAACUCCUACGGGAGGCAGCAGUGGGGAAUCUUGCACAAUGGAGGAAACUCUGAUGCAGCGAUGCCGCGUGAGUGAAGAAGGCCCUUGGGUUGUAAAGCUCUUUCGUCGGGGAAGAAAAUGACUGUACCCGAAUAAGAAGGUCCGGCUAACUUCGUGCCAGCAGCCGCGGUAAUACGAAGGGACCUAGCGUAGUUCGGAAUUACUGGGCUUAAAGAGUUCGUAGGUGGUUGAAAAAGUUAGUGGUGAAAUCCCAGAGCUUAACUCUGGAACUGCCAUUAAAACUUUUCAGCUAGAGUAUGAUAGAGGAAAGCAGAAUUUCUAGUGUAGAGGUGAAAUUCGUAGAUAUUAGAAAGAAUACCAAUUGCGAAGGCAGCUUUCUGGAUCAUUACUGACACUGAGGAACGAAAGCAUGGGUAGCGAAGAGGAUUAGAUACCCUCGUAGUC